UUGAUGAUAAUAAAAAAAAUUUUUUUCUCAUUAAUCAUUUAAUGUGAAGAUAUUUAUCAUCAUUUUUUUGAUCAUAAAAAUUGCGUCAUACACAACACAUUGAUUAUCAGGUCCAGCUGUUUUUUCUGGUUUUUGAUAAUAACGGCAAAUACAGAAAAAAAACACCUCUUUCAUACGUCGAAAUAUAAACCGAAAUAGACAUAUAGAGAAAAGAAAAACCAGAAGCAUUAAACUCUGUCGCAAACAUUCAAAAAAAAAAAAAAAAAAAAUUUCUUAUCACAUUUCCUUAUGAUUUAAAAAUUGGAUGAUCAAAUUUUUUUUUCUGUUAUCACUCUCAUCAUGUCAACAAUGACAACUGUGCCUGUAAAUUCUUCAAAUACAUCAUCAA